rnacentral:rRNA from 1 species
GACGAACGCUGGCGGUGUGCUUAACGCAUGCAAGUCGAACGGAAAGGCCCUGCUUUUGUGGGGUGCUCGAGUGGCGAACGGGUGAGUAACACGUGAGUAACCUGCCCUUGACUUUGGGAUAACUUCAGGAAACUGGGGCUAAUACCGGAUAGGAGCUCCUGCUGCAUGGUGGGGGUUGGAAAGUUUCGGCGGUUGGGGAUGGACUCGCGGCUUAUCAGCUUGUUGGUGGGGUAGUGGCUUACCAAGGCUUUGACGGGUAGCCGGCCUGAGAGGGUGACCGGCCACAUUGGGACUGAGAUACGGCCCAGACUCCUACGGGAGGCAGCAGUGGGGAAUAUUGCACAAUGGGCGGAAGCCUGAUGCAGCAACGCCGCGUGCGGGAUGACGGCCUUCGGGUUGUAAACCGCUUUCGCCUGUGGCGAAGUGUGAGUGACGGUAAUGGGUAAAGAAGCACCGGCUAACUACGUG